rnacentral:tRNA from 1 species
GUCUCCGUAGCUCAGCUGGACAGAGCACAGGUUUCCUAAACAGGUUGAAUUGGGCGUCGCACCGGGAAACCGCGCGGCGGAUCCGCUCAAAGUCGGGGAAAGCUUCAGGCACCAGCGCUUCGGCGUUCGGAGCCCUGCCGAUCCCGAGCCAAGCCCGCGCGGCGCGCCUGCGUCCUUCGGGAAGGUGUAGAGACUAGACGGGCGGCACCUAACGGUCGGGCACAGGUCCGACCCAUGGUGAAGGGAUAGUCCAGGCCACGAACGCGACCCCCGGGCCGCGGCGGCGAAAGUCGAAGUGGUAUGAAACCUGGGGUCGCAGGUUCGAGCCCUGCCGGGGACGCCA